ensembl:snRNA U6 U6 spliceosomal RNA
UUGCUUCGGCAGCAUAUAUACUAAAUUUGGACAGAUACACAAAUUAGCAUUACCCUCAUGCAAGGAUGACAUACAAAUUGGUGAAGCUUUUUUUUCUUUU